GAUGAACGCUGGCGGCGUGCUUAACACAUGCAAGUCGGACGGAAAGGCCUCAGCUUGCUGGGGUACUCGAGUGGCGAACGGGUGAGUAACACGUGGGUGAUCUGCCCUGCACUUUGGGAUAAGCUUGGGAAACUGGGUCUAAUACCGAAUAUGACCACUUCUUGGAUGUUGUGGUGGAAAGCUUUUGCGGUGUGGGAUGAGCCUGCGGCCUAUCAGCUUGUUGGUGGGGUAAUGGCCUACCAAGGCGGCGACGGGUAUCCGGCCUGAGAGGGUGUACGGACACAUUGGGACUGAGAUACGGCCCAGACUCCUACGGGAGGCAGCAGUGGGGAAUAUUGCACAAUGGGCGCAAGCCUGAUGCAGCGACGCCGCGUGGGGGAUGAAGGCCUUCGGGUUGUAAACUCCUUUCGCUAUCGACGAAGCCACUUGUGGUGACGGUAGGUAGAUAAGAAGCACCGGCUAACUACGUGCCAGCAGCCGCAGUAA
rnacentral:rRNA from 1 species